rnacentral:tRNA from 1 species
GCGGCAGUGGCGGAAUUGGCAGACGCGCUAGAUUCAGGAUCUAGUCCCGUUACGGUGGUGGGGGUUCGAGUCCCUUCUGCCGCACCA